rnacentral:tRNA from 1 species
GGUUGUGGCUCAGUGGUAGAGUGCUUGCCUAGCACAUGUGAGGCACUGGGUUUGAUCCUCAGCACCA